rnacentral:misc_RNA from 1 species
CAAGGCUAUCUACUUCCUCUUUGCUCGCUUCGGCUACUUUGGUCUCCUAGUGGGGGCUCUUGUGAUGUCUGAGGAUAUGUGGGGCUGUUGCAACAUGAUGUCUCCAGAGGGAGCCAGUUCUGACAAAAACGUCAUAUCUUCAGCAUCCACAGGGCAAACCCCCUGUCCUCAGCCCCCUUUCGACCCGCAUGCAGGACCGUCUAGCCCGUCUAGCUCGGUGGUGAGCGUGCCGCAAGAUGAGCUCUGGGCGGCGCUGGACAAACGCCCCGACUCAAUCACUUCGAAUAGAAUAUUUCAAGCUCCGAGUCCCGGAGUCCCGGCAGAAGUUUUUGAAGUUUCGCCCAGUCCAGACCAAGAAGCGCAACUUCAGGCUGCGCCAUCCCUCCUAGCGGUAGAACAUCGAAUCUCAGAGGUUUUAUCUUCUUUUAAUCGCAUAACCAUGAGAUCGGAUAUUCUAAGCUCUGUUUAUGAUAAACUAGGGCUGAAAACUGCGAGUUCACAAAAACUUCACCACCUCAUGAACCAAUUAGAUAUACUUGAACAUUCUGAGGGGGACGAAAGGCCUAAAACCGGCGCCAAAGCAGCACAAAAGUUAAUCGAGGUUAUCAACGACUGGUGCAAGCAGAACCCCGGCCAAUAAUCUCCUACGAAUACUACCAACCCAAAGAAAUACGACCUCU